GCCUGGUCUCAGCUCAUCUCCACCCAGGUCUCUGGAUAGUUAUCACUUAAAACGACUGGGAGCCGGUGGGCGGAGGAGUCGGUGCUUCUCGGCACAAGCAUGAGGGCCAGAUAAGAGCCUGUGACUGAGUGCAGAUGCUGUGGCACACGUCAGCUCACGUCUGUGACACGUAAGAGAAUCUGCGAGAAAGGAGAUGAAACUGGGCCGCCAGCACAACAGGCACAAUAAAGAGGAUGAAAGCAGAACCGGCAGGAAAUUAAACUACGCUAGAUUCUACAUAUUUUAUUAUGGAACCAACCAAUCCAUCCAUGCAGAACAGAACAAGCAAACCAGAGUCUCAACGUCAGUGUGGCCAAAUCCGCAGCGGCUAAACAUGCCUGGCUUCCUGUGUGGUAUGGAUGGAUGGCCUUCACGGUGGUGUGUGUAAAUCCUUACAGAUCCGGUAGGGUCUCCUCU